CCCAGCUGUAGGCAACUGUGUAGGUUGACUGUACCUAGACCAGUGUUAAACUGCUGGGAGAAAAGCAACUAAUAGCUGGUAGGCAUUCUGGGUCUGGUUAAUGCCAAAUCUGUGUUAACUAUACCAGUGUGCCAACACA
rnacentral:snoRNA from 1 species